rnacentral:lncRNA from 1 species
CUGUGAUGAGGAGGUGAAGAAAUGAGCCUGCUGAGGAAGCUGGUAUGAUAAUUUAGACAAAACAAAAACUAGCUUGUAGUAUGAUAAAAUGGAAAAGUGGAAGAAAAGACAUGCACUUGAAAGUUUAUUUGUGUUUCAUACAAAUAAUUCAUCAGUCCUACAGGGUGGGAGUUUGUCUCCUUGGGACACUGCAUCUUCAGGACCAGAGAGCUGAUGGAUGCUCUAGAUCAAUAGACACUUGCCUGGGUGCGAAGUACCAGGGCUGCUCUUUUUUUCAUGCAGUGAAGAUGUCAUCAUUUCUGGGACCUGACGAUGGAAACAGGAGCCCAAUGGCUGGAGACAGCCGAGUCUUUCCGAGUUUCUGAGCCUGUGGCUUGCAACUGUCAGAAGUGCAU